rnacentral:rRNA from 1 species
UGGGGAAUUUUGGACAAUGGGGGAAACCCUGAUCCAGCCAUCCCGCGUGUGCGAUGAAGGCCUCCGGGUUGUAAAGCACUUUUGGCAGGAAAGAAACGUCAUGGGUUAAUACCCCGUGAAACUGACGGUACCUGCAGAAUAAGCACCGGCUAAUUACGUGCCAGCAGCCGCGGUAAUACGUAGGGUGCAAGCGUUAAUCGGAAUUACUGGGCGUAAAGCGUGCGCAGGCGGUUCGGAAAGAAAGAUGUGAAAUCCCAGAGCUCAACUUUGGAACUGCAUUUUUAACUACCGGGCUAGAGUGUGUCAGAGGGAGGUGGAAUUCCGCGUGUAGCAGUGAAAUGCGUAGAUAUGCGGAGGAACACCGAUGGCGAAGGCAGCCUCCUGGGGUAACACUGACGCUCAUGCACGAAAGCGUGGGGAGCAAACAGG